UGUAAGCGUAUACCAAAGUUGUUGCAGUUAAAACGCUCGUAGUCGGAAUUUGGCAGUUCCGGAUGUGUGCACGUCGUGUGCGCACUUCGCGGGGAUUGCUUUUGUGGUCUGGCGUAGGAUGAGGCACUUUUAUUAGUGAACGUCCUCACGCAACCACUUUUUACUGUGAGAAAAUCAGAGUGCUCAAAGCAGGCAUUUGCCGUGAAUGUAUUAGCAUGGAAUAAUAGAAUAGGACUUGGUUCUAUUUUGUUGGUUUGUUGGGACUGAGUAAUGAUUAAGAGGGACAGUUGGGGGCAUUUGUAUUUCGGUGCUAGAGGUGAAAUUCUUAGAUUACCGAAAGACAAACUGCUGCGAAAGCGUCUGCCAAGGAUGUUUUCAUUGA
rnacentral:rRNA from 1 species